UGUUUUUAGCCUCGGAUCUCAUUUCACUAGUUCAUCAAAUUUCACAAUCCCUGUAAUAUUUUGAGAUGGAUUUUUUUAAAGUUCCAUUAGAAUGUCCCUUGGUGAUGUCACCAUGGUUGUGAUAAAUAACUGUAGUUUAAAGGUUACUUAACUAAGAGUACUAGACAUAACUGCCCUCACAGCACUCCUGAUAUGUGACUUAUCACCAGAUCCUGCGAUUGCUGACAGCGGUGCACAGAACAGUCUGGAAUGUUGCUAGGUCAGAAAGCUCAAUUCUGUGAAAGUGGGACAUGAAAGAUGGGAGAUGGGGAGGCGAAAAAGACAACAAGGGACAGGCAGAUGGAAAGGAUACUGCAGAGAAGACCAAGAAAGAGAAAUAGGAAGAAAAUGCAGAGUGGGUUGUCAUGGAAUCUUCAAGAAGGAAGCUCAUUGCCUGACCCACUUGUUUCAUAAUGCAAUGAAAUGCUAAAGAAUUUUAACUCCAUAAGGAAAAUCAGGGCAAGACAAUAAAAGAAACAUUAAAUAUUAGUAAAAGUACACUCAA
rnacentral:lncRNA from 1 species